GCGUCGUUCGUGAAAACUCUACGCUUAACGUGGAGCGUGCGGUCGAUACGGGCAGACUUGAGUUCGGUAGGGGAGACUGGAAUUCCUGGUGUAGCGGUGAAAUGCGCAGAUAUCAGGAGGAACACCGGUGGCGAAGGCGGGUCUCUGGGCCGAUACUGACGCUGAGGAGCGAAAGCGUGGGGAGCGAACAGGAUUAGAUACCCUGGUAGUCCACGCUGUAAACGUUGGGCGCUAGGUGUGGGCGACAU
rnacentral:rRNA from 1 species